rnacentral:lncRNA from 1 species
AAAUAUGAGGAAACCUAACUGAGAUACACACUAGCUUCAGUAAAGCUGCUGUGUAAACGGCAUUUAAAUUCACUGUUAUCGCCACUGACAGAGAUGACGUCAGCUCUUUGCCACCUGAGUAAAUAAAUAUUUAUAGGGCGAUGUAAGUCUGAAGAAUGUCACACUGCUCCAAUAGACUUCAUUUUCAGGCCAGAGUGAAAUAGGCAACAACAAGAACCCCCAUCACCACAUUUGAUGAGUUGUCCAUUCUCUUCUCUAAUACAGCAGCACCGGGUUCAAUACCGAGGGCAAACCACGCAACCAAACCAUCCUCCUCUUCCUCUGCGACUCCUCCCGCCUGGGCGUGAGAGCCUUUCCUCAUCUCAAGCUCGACUCCAAGGAACACCAAGAAACUGGACCACAUCGGGAUGCCCGUUCCUGGCGGCAUACAUUAACGCAGUCCAUCCAUUUUCAGACGUCUCAUUGAGAAGAGAUGGAGAAUGACUGAGUACUCCUGCUACCUUUGCGACAUUUCCUUCUGCGGCUGAACUGUGGAGUUCAGAAAUCAUUUCCCUUUUGUGAUUUCUUUUAACAGAAGACAUGUCUUCCUCUAAAAAAUAAAAUAAAAAAAAAAAAAAAACUUACUGAGAAUUGCUUUUCACACGAAUGGAUGAACAUUAUUUAGAUGCUGAUCUUGGAAAGGCAGUACAUUUCCAAACCAGUACACCUGUCAAAAGAUAAUUCAUAGUCAACUGCGACUGCAGUAGGGAAGGGGGACCGAGUCGGGGCACGGAGUGGAGAGGGUUAAAGCAGAGAGCAUUAGAGGCAGAUGCUUAUAGAGACGUACUGCAGGUUCAACCCAGAGCCUUGUCUCCUGGAUUUUGAAACAGCAAUGUGGCUAGUCAAAUCCACAGCCUAGUCUGCAUAAAGUUCAGGAAAACAACGGGUCCUAGAUUAACUUUC